UACGUAGGGGGGCAAGCGUUGUCCGGAAUUAUUGGGCGUAAAGAGCGUGUAGGCGGUCCGGUAAGUCAGCUGUGAAAGUCAAGGGCUCAACCCUUGAAUGCCGGUUGAUACUGUCGGGCUAGAGUCCGGAAGAGGCGAGUGGAAUUCCCGGUGUAGCGGUGAAAUGCGCAGAUAUCGGGAGGAACACCAAUGGCGAAGGCAGCUCGCUGGGACGGUACUGACGCUGGAGACGCGAAAGCGUGGGGAGCAAAC
rnacentral:rRNA from 1 species